AUGGCCGUGAGGGUCCCCGCUCAGCUCCUGGGGCUCCUGCUGCUCUGGCUCCCAGGAUCCAGAUGUGACAUCCAGAUGACCCAGUCUCCAUCCGCUCAUUCUGCAUCUGUAGGAGACACUGUCAUCAUCAGUUGCAAGGCCAGUCAGAACGUAGGUAGUUAUUUAGCAUGGUAUCAACAGAAACCUGGGAAGGAGCCUAAACGUCUGAUCUAUGGUGCAUCCACCUUAGCUUCUGGCGUCCCAGCGAGGUUCAGCGGCAGUAGAUCAGGGCAAGAUUACACUCUCACCAUCCGCAGCCUGCAGCCUGAAGAUGUGGCCACUUAUUACUGUCAGCAGACUGUCAGUCUCCCUCCCACAGUGAUAUAG